UAAACACUACUCUUAUCCAUAUUUUCCACCAAACCUGAUGCUUGAGAAAAAAUCUCAAAACACUUGUACAAGCAUCGGACAAAAUUCAAAUCACCUCUCAAAAUAGUAAUAAAUCAUCAACAAAAUGAAGUUGGAUGAUUCUAUGUGGUUUACAUCUGGGGUGAUAGUGAAAAUUAGGAUUUAUAUGUAAGUUCUUCAAUAUUUUAGUCAGAUAAUCCAUGGCUAACAUAAAUAAAUAAGGUGAUAAAGGAUCUCCCUGCCUGACCCCUCUCUUUGCUUGAAUAGGUCUAGAAGAUUUCUCAUUAAUCAUCAAUGACCCCUCCUAUUUCUCAUUAUUUUUUUCUUCCUUUGUGCUUUAAAUUUAUUCAGAUAUGAGCUUGUGUUAAAUGCUCAAUCGUUCUUUUAAUUUCUUUUAGCUUAGACGAAUUACCAUGGAGUUAUCUUAAAUUGUUAUAUUAUCAAGUUUACGUUAAAUCUCUUUACCUUGAAAUCCAAGUACAAAUCCUGUUAUGCAAAUUUAAGCUUUCAAGAAUAACUUAAGAACCUUUUAUGUUCUUUCAUAUCUAUUAGAAAGUUCUUUCAUAGUGGCAGACUCCAGUUAAUUAAGAAUGUCAUUUUUGAAAUGCAGACUUAUUGGGCACAGGUAUAUGUCAUUUUUGAAAUGCAGACUUAUUGGGCACAGGUAUUCUUAUUUCCCAAGGAAGUCAUUUCUAU
rnacentral:lncRNA from 1 species